CUCCAAUAGCGUAUAUUAAAGUUGUUGCAGUUAAAAAGCUCGUAGUUGAAUUUCGGGAUUGGCGCAUCGGUCGUGCCUCACGGGGUAUGAACUGGUGCAGUCAAUUUCUCACCUUCUGGAGAACCGCGAUGUCCUUAAUUGGAUGCCGCGGGGAACCAGGACCUUUACUUUGAAAAAAUUAGAGUGUUUAAAGCAGGCAUUUUUGCUUGAAUACAUUAGCAUGGAAUAAUAAAAUAGGACGGCAUGGUUCUAUUUUGUUGGUUUCUAGGACCACCGUAAUGAUUAAUAGGGAUAGUUGGGGGCAUUAGUAUUCAAUUGUCAGAGGUGAAAUUCUUGGAUUUAUUGAAGACUAACUACUGCGAAAGCAUUUGCCAAGGAUGUUUUCAUUAAUCAAGAACGAAAGUUAGGGGAUCGAAGACGAUCAGAUACCGUCGUAGUCUUAACCAUAAACUAUGCCGACUAGGAAUCAGAC
rnacentral:rRNA from 1 species